rnacentral:rRNA from 1 species
AUUUCCCUCUGGCGGCGGGCCUAACACAUGCAAGUCGAGCGGAUGAAUGGGGCUUGCUCCUGGAUUCAGCGGCGGACGGGCGGGUAAGGCCUAGGAAUCUGCCUUGUAUUUGGGAAUAGGGUCCGGAAGGGGGCCCUAAACCCGCAUCGGACCUGAUGUUGAAACGGGGGGUUCUUCGGUGUAAGCCGGUUUUGAUGUCACUAGUUGGGAUUACCUAGCUGGUGGGGUAAAGGCGUACGAAGGCGACGUCCCGUAACUGGUCUGAGAGGAUGAUCAGUCACACUGGAACUGAGAGACGGUCCAGACUCCUACGGGAGGAAGCAGUGGGGAAUAUUGGACAAUGGGCGAAAGCCUGCUCCAGCCAUGCCGCGUGUGUGAAGAAGGUCUUCGGAUUGUAAAGCACUUUAAGUUGGGAGGAAGGUCAGUAAGUUAAUACCUUGCUGUUUUGACGUUACCAACAGAAUAAGCACCGGCUAACUUCGUG